CCUACGGUGGCUGCCGUGGGGAAUAUUGGACAAUGGGCGAAAGCCUGAUCCAGCCAUGCCGCGUGUGUGAAGAAGGCCUUCGGGUUGUAAAGCACUUUCAGUGGGGAAGAAAGCCUUGGGGCUAAUACCCUCGAGGAAGGACAUCACCCACAGAAGAAGCACCGGCUAACUCCGUGCCAGCAGCCGCGGUAAUACGGAGGGUGCGAGCGUUAAUCGGAAUUACUGGGCGUAAAGCGCGCGUAGGCGGUCUGAUAAGCCGGUUGUGAAAGCCCCGGGCUCAACCUGGGAACGGCAUCCGGAACUGUCAGGCUAGAGUGCAGGAGAGGAAGGUAGAAUUCCCGGUGUAGCGGUGAAAUGCGUAGAGAUCGGGAGGAAUACCAGUGGCGAAGGCGGCCUUCUGGACUGACACUGACGCUGAGGUGCGAAAGCGUGGGUAGCAAACAGGAUUAGAUACCCCAGUAGUC
rnacentral:rRNA from 1 species